rnacentral:lncRNA from 1 species
CCCUGCUGCCGGCGAUGGGCGUGGCCAUUAGGUAAGGGGGGCAGGGAGGAGGAGCUGGCUGCAGAAGACCCAGGGGUUUCGGAUCACUCCAUCACGAUUCCAGUAGCAACUCCUCGGUCCUGGUGGCAUGCAUAGCGGGGCACAGUCCUACUGCCACCCCACAUGACAGCCAAGCACUGUCGUUAUGCCUGCUGAGCAAAGCCAAGAUUGAACCCCAAGACACUUGGCCCCUGCCCACGGUCACGCUUGGCCCCUCCUUUUAUUACUGAGAGCCCCAAUCCGGACCAGUAUGCGGGGCUUGGGUGGCAGCUGGACCCUCCUGCUGCCCUCUUCGCUUCUGAGGCCAGAGCAGGGUGCCGGGUCCCACGGUGCCCGGUCCCACGGUGCUGGGCACAGGAGAACCCUGGAGACACAGCCUCUCAUUCCCUCAGGCCCCACACGGUGGCGGUGCCGCACAGAGAGAGGUGCACUGCUCCAGCCAGUGGGGAGUCCCCACCCCACUCGCCACCCGCCUGCCACAGCCCUCAGCAUCUGUGCACCUCUCUCUUAAUCUACAAAGCGGGGGUGACAGUAGGUCCUACCGCGUGAGAUGUGGAGGAGAUUAGCU